AAAACAUGGUUUUUUGAUUAUAAUUUAAAAUUAGUUCUGCCCACUGAUUAAUAUUAAAUGGCUGCAGUAUAUUGACUGUACAAAGGUAGCAUAAUAAAUUGUUUUUUAAUUGAAAACUUGAAUGAAUGAAUUGAUAAAAUAUAAACUUUAUUAUUUUUAUUAAUAAAAUUUAAAUUUUAAGUAAAAAUGCUUAAAUAUUUUAAUGGGACGAGAAGACCCUAUAGAAUUUUAUAUAAUAAAUUAAAUGAAUUAUUUAUAUUUAAUUUUAUUUAGUUAAUUAUAUUUUAUUGGGAGGAUAAUUAAAUUUAAUAAACUUUAUUAUUUUAGUUUUCAUUUAUAAAUGAAUAAAAGAUUUUUUUAUUUAAAUAAUUAGAUUAAAUUACCUUAGGGAUAACAGCAUAAUAUCUUUGGAUAGUUCUUAUAGAUAAAGAUGUUU
rnacentral:rRNA from 1 species